GAUGAAGAACGCAGCGAAAUGCGAUAAGUAAUGUGAAUUGCAGAAUUCAGUGAAUCAUCGAAUCUUUGAACGCACAUUGCGCCCUCUGGUAUUCCGGGGGGCAUGCCUGUUCGAGCGUCAUUAUAACCACUCAAGCUCUCGCUUGGUAUUGGAGUUCGCGAUCUCGCGGCUCCUAAAAUCAGUGGCGGUGCCUGUCGGCUCUACGCGUAGUAAUACUCCUCGCGAUUGAGUCCGGUAGGUUUACUUGCCAGCAACCCCCAAUUUUUACAGGUUGACCUCGGAUCAGGUAGGGAUACCCCUGAACUUAAGCAUAUCAAUAAGCGGAGGA
rnacentral:misc_RNA from 1 species